rnacentral:lncRNA from 1 species
CAGUUAUCAUUCCCUCAGUGCAGCUCCACAGGGGAAAGUUUGGCUCAUCUGCCUCAUCUUCCCUAAUUACCUUUCCGCAGCGGCAGGCGGGAGGCGAGGAGCGGCUCUUCCCGCCGUCGGGCGGCGCUCGCUCUCCAGCACCGCCUCUCAGGCCCUCAGACCGGCAACCUCCAACCUCGGCGAGGGCUACGCCCUGUCUGGCCGCACACCCUGCGGCUGUGCCCGGCGGGAUGGCGAUCUGGCCGCUGCCCGUGGCGUGGCCUCCUCGGAGCCGCAGUGGCCCUCAGGCAGCCCCGGUCCCGGCCCGGCCCGGCCGCACGGCACCAUAGCAACCGCUGCCUCACGACGCCGGCCCGUCCCUAGCAACGGCGUCUCCUGGCGCCCCGCCCCUUCUGCCGCAAGUCUCGUGAGAUCUGGGUGCCACCGCCUCCUCCUCUGCGUGCUGGGCGGAUCUCGCGAGAGGAGGAGGCGGCGGUUGCCGGGCCUGGGAGCGGCGGACGGUGGCGGCGGGAGACGGUGGCUCGGCCGCGGCGCCGGGCGGGUUGUGAGUGCUGCAUGUGUGCUUUUCAGAGCAGUAGUGUGAGGAAGCUGGCAGUGGAAUGGCAGGACGGCCUCAUCCUUAUGACAGUAACUCCAGUGAUCCAGAGAAUUGGGAUCGGAAAUUGCAUAAUAGACCUCGUAAACUUUGUAAACAUUCAAGGUAGGUGCUAUGUACAAUCUGUUGCAUCUCAAAAACUACAAUGAAAGUCCAUUCUAAAGGCUACUGUAUCUGGUUGUGGCAAGUCCUGCCAUAAACUUGGUAGUUCUUCUUAAAAGGAAUGCUUCUUAAUCCUUUUAAAAGAUAUUUUCUAACGUAACUGAUAUGUCAGCUUCCCUAAUCUGUGCU